CAUGAGUUGUGCCUAUCAGAAAGAAAAAAAAUAUGCGUCUUUUUUUCACAUGAGGCAUAGAUUUGCUUCUCAUGGAGGCAUAUGUUUGCUUCUAGGAGAGGCACAACAACUGUGCCUCUCGGAAAGAGAAAAAACGUGUUUUUUUCUUCCACAAGAGACACAAAUUUGCUUCUCAUAAAAGCAUAAUUGUGCCUCUCAGAAAAGGGAGGAAAAGUGAAAAUAAAAUCAUGCUUCCGGUUCGGUUUUCUUUCUUCCAUUUUUUUUCUGUUUUUUUGUGCGGUGCGAGAAAUCCAAAGUGAAAACGGUUUGCGAUUUGAACGCACGAUUUAAGAGGUAAGACAUUUCAAUAAUUGAGUCUAAAAAAAGGAAAGAUUUCCAAAUCAAUAAUUUCAUUUAACAUGUUAACAUGCAGUGAUCACUUGUCACAAUCUUAACAUACCUCCAAAGGGCACCGCUUAAUCAGUGAUUUCGAAUAAACGGGCCGUGCAGGGUCGCUGCGUGUGCCUUGCCUCGCCCAGAGGGCACAACUGCUCGCGGGCUCGCGGCCCGGCCUGUUUGGCCACCUAUAUGCCGUAUCCCGACGGCAACCAGCGUGUUCGCACGAAUCUGCUAGAGCAGUUGUGCCCGGAGCCAGAACCCUCGUGCUCCUCCGGCGGCGACGGGCGGCGGAGGUGUGGAACUCGUCACAGCGCACAGGCACCAGAGCAUUCACAUCUGAAGGCCCACAUCUUGGAAAACAAACUUUUUUUGAGAAGCUUCAUCCCUUGGUCAUCACAAACUUGUACAGUUCAAAUAACAAGAUUAGUGCCUCUGCUGCGUCUAUUGUUUUAGUUGGUUCAAGUGAGGAACUUGGGAUUAUCAGUAACUGUUCAUGAGGAGUUUUCGUUUGGACAGUCUGACCAUUGCUAGUCCAAUGUUUCGUCAAAGGUUUAUUGCUGAUGGAAUUGAAGCUUUGGUCAGGAUAGGUAUCCCAGUUAACGCUGCUAUCUCCUUGUGGUAGAACUGUUUGUUCUUUGGUCGGAACCUGAUCUUAUUCAUUAUAGGUGUACUUGUUGGAGGAAAUUUUGCCGUCAAGCAAAUGUUUCCCUUGCUUAGGAUUCUUGUUAUAAUCUCAUGUAUCGACUAGCAAUCCAGAUGAGUAAUCCAGAGUCGCAACAUAGUUGGAACUUCUUUGCUCUAACUGAUGAUGGUUCCAGCUGUGAGGCAAUCUGCUGCAGAGAGGACCUGAUGCCAAAACUUCGUGGAGAAGACACCCUGUGAGCUGUGAGGAAAGGAUCGUCGGUCUGGCCACAAAGCACGUUUGCUCCUGGGGAACGGUCGCGAGUUAUCAGUUCUCAAAAUGAUAUAUAUGUGUGCAAAGUUUUUCUACUGAAAUAAUACACCCUUAAACCUUUGCAGCGUGUUUUGGCAAUAUUUAGAAAGGGAAUGGGAGUUACAGCA